UGUUUGAAAAAUAAUGGUGGAAAAACAAAUUAUUCAAUUGGCACAUAUGAAUGUUUAUGCUGUCAAAUUGAAUAAUGAAAAUGUUGUUUAAAACUUUAACUUGUUUAAGGGACUUUCUUUAUGAAUGAUAGAAAUGAUUAUUAAGGUUUUUAAAUUAUUUUUCCUUAGAGUAGAGACAUGUGAUAUAUUGAUUCAUUGACUGAUGGUUUCAUAAUUGAUAUGUCCGGGUAUUUCACUUUGCUGAUGAAUUAAACCUGAAGAUUUUUAAUAGUUACAUAUGUUAAAAUUAAAAGGAUUGGACAAAAAUUGAAAAAGUGCGCAAAAGUUAGGAUUUUGGUCAAAUUCCUUUUAAUUAUCAUUUCCUUUUAGGUUUUGAAUGAACAAUUAUUUUUGAUAGUGCCAUAUAGUCAUAUGGUGUACCACAUUUGCAAACAAAAAAGGAAAAAAAAAAAA
rnacentral:misc_RNA from 1 species